UUCGGAUUCACUGGGCGUAAAGGGUGCGUAGGCGGUUUGACAAGUCUGAUGUGAAAUCCCGCAGCUUAGCUGCGGAACUGCAUUGGAAACUGUUUGACUAGAGGAAUGGAGGGGAGACUGGAAUACUUGGUGUAGCAGUGAAAUGCGUAGAUAUCAAGUGGAACACCAGUGGCGAAGGCGAGUCUCUGGACAUUUCCUGACGCUGAGGCACGAAAGCCAGGGGAGCAAACGGG
rnacentral:rRNA from 1 species